AGAUAUACUGAUCCAUGUUGAUUUUGCCUGAUCUUGUCUGAUCUCAGAAGCUAAGCAGGAUUGGAACUGGUUAGUACUUGUGUGGGAGAAACCUUGAAACCUUAAUAAUGUUUG
ensembl:rRNA 5S_rRNA 5S ribosomal RNA